rnacentral:rRNA from 1 species
AGAGCGAACGCUGGCGGCAGGCCUAACACAUGCAAGUCGAACGGACCCUUCGGGGUUAGUGGCGGACGGGUGAGUAACACGUGGGAACGUGCCUUUAGGUUCGGAAUAGCUCCUGGAAACGGGUGGUAAUGCCGAAUGUGCCCUUCGGGGGAAAGAUUUAUCGCCUUUAGAGCGGCCCGCGUCUGAUUAGCUUGUUGGUGAGGUAAUGGCUCACCAAGGCUACGAUCAGUAGCUGGUCUGAGAGGAUGACCAGCCACAGUUGGGACUGAGACACGGCCCAAACUCCGUACGGGAGGCAGCAGUGGGGAAUCGUUGCGCAAGUCGGGACGAAAGCCUGACGCACGCCAAUCGGCCGUCGUGUA